AUUCUAGAGUUUGAUCAUGGCUCAGAUUGAACGCUGGCGGCAGGCUUAACACAUGCAAGUCGAGCGGUAGCACAGGGGAGCUUGCUCCCUGGGUGACGAGCGGCGGACGGGUGAGUAAUGUCUGGGAAACUGCCUGAUGGAGGGGGAUAACUACUGGAAACGGUAGCUAAUACCGCAUAACGUCGCAAGACCAAAGAGGGGGACCUUCGGGCCUCUUGCCAUCAGAUGUGCCCAGAUGGGAUUAGCUAGUAGGUGGGGUAAUGGCUCACCUAGGCGACGAUCCCUAGCUGGUCUGAGAGGAUGACCAGCCACACUGGAACUGAGACACGGUCCAGACUCCUACGGGAGGCAGCAGUGGGGAAUAUUGCACAAUGGGCGCAAGCCUGAUGCAGCCAUGCCGCGUGUGUGAAGAAGGCCUUCGGGUUGUAAAGCACUUUCAGCGAGGAGGAAGGUGGUGAACUUAAUACGUUCAUCAAUUGACGUUACUCGCAGAAGAAGCACCGGCUAACUCCGUGCCAGCAGCCGCGGUAAUACGGAGGGUGCAAGCGUUAAUCGGAAUUACUGGGCGUAAAGCGCACGCAGGCGGUUUGUUAAGUCAGAUGUGAAAUCCCCGGGCUCAACCUGGGAACUGCAUUUGAAACUGGCAAGCUAGAGUCUCGUAGAGGGGGGUAGAAUUCCAGGUGUAGCGGUGAAAUGCGUAGAGAUCUGGAGGAAUACCGGUGGCGAAGGCGGCCCCCUGGACGAAGACUGACGCUCAGGUGCGAAAGCGUGGGGAGCAAACAGGAUUAGAUACCCUGGUAGUCCACGCUGUAAACGAUGUCGAUUUGGAGGUUGUGCCCUUGAGGCGUGGCUUCCGGAGCUAACGCGUUAAAUCGACCUCUGGGGAGUACGGCCGCAAGGUUAAAACUCAAAUGAAUUGACGGGGGCCCGCACAAGCGGUGGAGCAUGUGGUUUAAUUCGAUGCAACGCGAAGAACCUUACCUACUCUUGACAUCCAGAGAACUUAGCAGAGAUGCUUUGGUGCCUUCGGGAACUCUGAGACAGGUGCUGCAUGGCUGUCGUCAGCUCGUGUUGUGAAAUGUUGGGUUAAGUCCCGCAACGAGCGCAACCCUUAUCCUUUGUUGCCAGCGGUUCGGCCGGGAACUCAAAGGAGACUGCCAGUGAUAAACUGGAGGAAGGUGGGGAUGACGUCAAGUCAUCAUGGUCCUUACGAGUAGGGCUACACACGUGCUACAAUGGCGUAUACAAAGAGAAGCGACCUCGCGAGAGCAAGCGGACCUCAUAAAGUACGUCGUAGUCCGGAUUGGAGUCUGCAACUCGACUCCAUGAAGUCGGAAUCGCUAGUAAUCGUAGAUCAGAAUGCUACGGUGAAUACGUUCCCGGGCCUUGUACACACCGCCCGUCACACGGUACCAU
rnacentral:rRNA from 1 species